UACGAAGGGGGCUAGCGUUGCUCGGAAUUACUGGGCGUAAAGCGCACGUAGGCGGAUUGUUAAGUCGGGGGUGAAAUCCUGGAGCUCAACUCCAGAACUGCCUUUGAUACUGAGGAUCUUGAGUUCGGGAGAGGUGAGUGGAACUGCGAGUGUAGAGGUGAAAUUCGUAGAUAUUCGCAAGAACACCAGUGGCGAAGGCGGCUCACUGGCCCGAUACUGACGCUGAGGCACGAAAGCGUGGGGAGCAAACAGG
rnacentral:rRNA from 1 species